UACAGAGGUCUCAAGCGUUGUUCGGAUUCAUUGGGCGUAAAGGGUGCGUAGGCGGCGCGGUAAGUCGGGAUGUGAAAUCUCGGAGCUUAACUCCGAAACUGCAUUCGAUACUGCCGUGCUUGAGGACUGGAGAGGAGACUGGAAUUUACGGUGUAGCGGUGAAAUGCGUAGAUAUCGUAAGGAAGACCAGUGGCGAAGGCGGCAUCCUGGACCGGCAUUGACGGCUGAGGAGCGAAAGCCAGGG
rnacentral:rRNA from 1 species